rnacentral:rRNA from 1 species
AACGAACGCUGGCGGCAGGCCUAACACAUGCAAGUCGAGCGAGGACUUCGGUCCUAGCGGCGGACGGGGGAGUAACGCGUGGGAACGUGCCCUUUGAUUCGGAAUAGCUCUGGGAAACAGGGAGUAAUAACGGAUGAGACCUCCGGGGGAAAGAUUUAUCGGCGGAGGAGCGGCCCGCGUGGGAUUAGGUAGUUGGUGUGGUAAUGGCCUACCAAGCCGACGAUCCGUAGCUGGUGUGAGAGGAUGCUCAGCCACACUGGGACUGAGACACGGCCCAGACUCCUACGGGAGGCAGCAGUGGGGAAUCUUAGACAAUGGGGGAAACCCUGAUGUAGCCAUGCCGCGUGAGCGAUGAAGGCCGUAGGGUUGUAAAGCUCUUUAAGCUGGGAAGAUAAUGACGGUACCAGCAGAAGAAGCCCCGGCUAACUACGUG